rnacentral:rRNA from 1 species
AGCUCCAAUAGCGUAUAUUAAAGUUGUUGCGGUUAAAAAGCUCGUAGUUGGAUUUCUGUUGAGAACGGGCGGUCCCUACUUUGUAGGUGUAUCUGCUUUGGUCUUGGCAUCCUCCUGGGGAACGUUGCUGUGCUUGAUUGCAUGGUGCGCGAUUCAGGACUUUUACUUGAGGAAAUUAGAGUGUUCACGGCAGGCAUUAGCCUUGAAUACAUUAGCAUGGAAUAAUAAUAUAGGACCUUGGUGCUAUUUUGUUGGUUUCUAGAACUAAGGUAAUGAUUAAUAGGGAUAAUUGGGGGCAUUCGUAUUAACGCGUCAGAGGUGGAAUUCUUAGAUUGCGUUACGACGAACUACUGCGAAAGCAUUUGCCAAGGAUGUUUUCA